rnacentral:rRNA from 1 species
CUACGGGAGGCAGCAGUGGGGAAUAUUGCGCAAUGGGGGAAACCCUGACGCAGCAACGCCGCGUGAGUGAUGAAGGUCUUCGGAUUGUAAAACUCUGUCUUUGGGGACGAUAAUGACGGUCC